rnacentral:rRNA from 1 species
AUUGAACGCUGGCGGCAUGCUUUACACAUGCAAGUCGAACGGCAGCGCGGGCUUCGGCCUGGCGGUGAGUGGCGAACGGGUGAGUAAUGCAUCGGAACGCGCCCAGUAGUGGGGGAUAGCCCGGCGAAAGCCGGAUUAAUACCGCAUACGACCUGAGGGUGAAAGCGGGGGACCGAAAGGCCUCGCGCUAUUGGAGCGGCCGAUGUCGGAUUAGCUAGUUGGUGGGGUAAAGGCUUACCAAGGCGACGAUCCGUAGCUGGUCUGAGAGGACGACCAGCCACACUGGGACUGAGACACGGCCCAGACUCCUACGGGAGGCAGCAGUGGGGAAUUUUGGACAAUGGGGGCAACCCUGAUCCAGCCAUGCCGCGUGCGGGAAGAAGGCCUUCGGGUUGUAAACCGCUUUUGUUCGGGAAGAAAUCCUCUGGGCUAAUACCCCGGGGGGAUGACGGUACCGGAAGAAUAAGCACCGGCUAACUACGUG